GACGAACGCUGGCGGCGUGCUUAACACAUGCAAGUCGAACGAUGAAGCCUAGCUUGCUGGGUGGAUUAGUGGCGAACGGGUGAGUAACACGUGAGUAACCUGCCCUGGACUCUGGGAUAAGCGUUGGAAACGACGUCUAAUACCGGAUAGGACCUUUCACCGCAUGGUGGGGGGUGGAAAGUUUUUUCGGUUUGGGAUGGACUCGCGGCCUAUCAGCUUGUUGGUGAGGUAAUGGCUCACCAAGGCGUCGACGGGUAGCCGGCCUGAGAGGGUGACCGGCCACACUGGGACUGAGACACGGCCCAGACUCCUACGGGAGGCAGCAGUGGGGAAUAUUGCACAAUGGGCGCAAGCCUGAUGCAGCAACGCCGCGUGCGGGAUGACGGCCUUCGGGUUGUAAACCGCUUUUAGUAGGGAAGAAGCCUUCGGGUGACGGUACCUGCAGAAAAAGGACCGGCUAACUACGUGCCAGCAGCCGCCGUAACAC
rnacentral:rRNA from 1 species